AUGCUUCUCACACAGGGCCUUGAGCUGCUGGCUGUGGGGUGCUGGCUGCCACCGCAGAGGCGUGACCGUCCGUGUGCGCUCGCUGCCCACCAGGAACUCUGCCACGAGCCUGUUAAACUGAAUCAUGUACUCCUUCACCAUGAUGUGGGCCGCGCGGAAGCCCAGGGUGCUGUCCUCAUCAGGCUGCUCAUAGAAGCAGUCGGACUGCAGGCGGUGCCGGCGCAGCAGCCGAGAGAAGUAGCAUGCGGCCACGACGCAGGCGUCCACAGAGUCCAGGCGGGCUGGCAGCUCACGGCCGGCACCUGGGUGCUCCCUGAUCACCCGCUCUGCCUCCUCGUAGGACAGCUGGCGGUCAGAGCGGACCACGGAGGGUGCAAAGUGCAGGCUCUUCAGCUGGCCACUGGCUUUCUCCAUGGUGAGGAACAGGGAGAUGGCCAGGCGGUCCUGGCCCGGCAGGAGGCUGAGGAUGUCCUGGCAGAGGCUGGCAGGCAGCAUGGGCACUGGUUCCCUGCCAGGGGCAUAGAACGCAGCGCCCUGCCUUCGAGCCUCCACGUCCAGCGCCCCGUCCCUGGGCACGAAGCUGGCAACAUCAGUGAUGUGCACAGCCACCUCGCACUGGGGACCCAGGUCUCGGACACUGAGGGCAUCAUCGAGGUUGCAGGCGCCCUGGGGGUCCACAGUGAAGGUCAGGAAGGCGCGGCAGUCCUCUCGGCGGCCGGCAACGCGGCCAAGCUCUGUUUGGUAUUUCUGCAGUGCCUUGGUGAUGGCAGCCAGGUCCGACGGGGGCACCCUCAAGCUGUACUCCAGGCCAAGGAUGCGGAGGCCCUGCUCCCAGGUGCUGGCCUCAGGCAGCACCUCCCGGACGAUGCCCAGUGGGUAAUAGAAGCCCUGCCGCCACAGGACAAUGUGGACCCAGAAGAGCCGGCUGUGCCGGGCCUCCGCCGUGAGCCUCUCCAGCCCCACACGCUGCAGCCGGCCCUUCCGGAGGCCGUAGACCGGGACCUGCGAUGGGUCCUUCAGCUCUGCCACGAAGAUCUUGGUCACGGAGCCAUUGAUGGGGACCAUGAUGCGCGGGUCCCACCUGUCCAUGCGGCACACAAACGCCAGCUCGUGCCUCCUCCUCUUCAGCACGCCCAGCACGCGGCCCCGAAGCCGCCCCUCGGGGGCCCUGUCUCCCGAAAGGAGCUGCACCAGCACCUCAUCCCCGGUGAAGGCCAUGCCACAGUCCAGGCGGCCCCUGACCUGGAUGGGGCCCGAGGGGGCGUCGUCCAGCGGGAUGGCGGACGCGCGCUCAAAGGUCUCCUGCACGAAGGUGCAGUGACGGUAGCGCUCCGGCUCCGCACGCAGCAGCUUCCGCAGUGCAGCCGGGGGCAGGUUCUCGUACAGCCGGGCCUGCCGCGGGGACUCUGGCCUGGCGACGGUGUCCAGCAGCCCGUCCUCCCCGACGGUCACCAUCACCUUCCGGCUUUCAUCCAGAAGCUCCCGCAGGAUGGCGUCGUCAGCGUUGAGCUCCCCGUCCCACGGCCAGAAGUCAGCCUCUGCGUCCGCAGGCUCGGUGGCCUCCACGCCCGCCGCAGCGGCCGCGCCCGCCGUGCAGGCCCCGGGCGCCGCGUCCUCCUUCACUGCGUCUCCUGCUGGCGCUGCCGCAGCCUCCGUCUGCGCUGUGGUUGCCGUGAUGUCACCGGAGGCUGGGCUCAGAGCCUCAUCUCCCGGCUCUGCCUUCACUGUGGCCGUCACCACAGUCGCCGGUUCCUCGGCCGGGUCCCCUACUGGCUCCGGGGCAGCCUCCCAGUUCCCCGAUGCCCCAGCUCGUGUGCCCUGGGGGGGCCAGCGCCGUCUCCGCGCCACGCCCUGCUCGACCUGCUCCAUGGACAGGCCCUCGGGGCAGACGCUGUGCCGUUCCGCACACUCGCGGAUGAAACUCUCCCAGAGCUUGCCACAGGCCCCGAAGGAGCAGAGGGCCACGGCGUCCCCCACCACCACCAGCUGGGACUGGGCGCGGGUCAGCACGGUGUUGAGCACGCGGGCGUCAGUGAAGAACUCGGGGGCUGGUGCCCCGGGGCUGAGCAGGCUCUGGCAGGUGUGCACCGUGCUGAGCACCACCACCCGGAACUGCCGCCCUGCAGAGGGCAUGCGGUCAGGCUGGGCACACCGGACGGUGGGACCAACCCCACCCCCGCCGAUGCCAGGCUGAGGAGUGGGCCAAGCCACCCGGGGCAUCCUGGGGCAGCAGGCAGCACUUGGCCCCGCUGGUCACCCACCUGGCAGGAUCUCAAAACUGCCCACAGACACCUGGCCUAG
ensembl:lncRNA